UACAGAGGCCCCAAGCGUUACUGAGAAUCACUGGGUUUAAAGGGUGCGUAGGUGGUCCGUUAAGUCCGUUGUGAAAUCCCUGGGCUCAACCCAGGAAAUGCUUCGGAUACUGGCGGACUUGAGGCUAGUAGGGGUCACUGGAACUGACGGUGGAGCGGUGAAAUGCGUAGAUAUCGUCAGGAACGCCAAUGGUGAAGACAGGUGACUGGGCUAGUCCUGACACUGAGGCACGAAAGCGUGGGGAUCAAACGGG
rnacentral:rRNA from 1 species